UGACAACAGUUAAAACAAGAGUUUAGCUUUGGAAAAGUUUAUCUACAAAGAGUACUAACAAAAAAUAGUACACCUUUGAAAGACUGGGUGACAAAGAAAUAAACUUUUAUAGAUGAACAAAUUUAAACUAUUAGAAAAGGAGGCAAUGUUGUAUCAGUGAGGUUAGCAUACUAAUAAGGGUGAAGAAUGAUUCUGGAUGCACUAGAAUUAUUGAAUGUCAAGUUGGAAAGGGCCUCAGAAGCCAUUUAUUCCAACCCCUUCAUUUUAUAUGGGAGGAAAGUGAAACCCAGAUAGAAGUGAUUUGUCCAAAAUAGGGCAUUACCUUAGAGAUCAGAGUAAUCUCUAAAAUUUUUGUAUUAAUUCCCUUCAGGAACUAAAAAUUCCUUAGCAAUUAUCUUAAGUAAAAACAAUCAUUGCUGACACACAUGCAUAUUCGGCUUUCAUCAGAAACUUAAUUUUUUUUGCUUUUUCUUUUUUUUUUUUCUGAACAUGGCUAGAUAAUCCCAGACACCAUUCAGAUUGUAGUGAAGUUCAGUAGACAGCAUUGCUAUGAAGAAUGAGAGAAAGAGAGAAGAAAAGAGAAGAGAGGAGAGAGAGAAAAGAGAGAAUCAGAGACAGAGAGACAGAGAAGAGAUAGACACAGAGACACAGAUACAAAAAGACCUGAUCAUGCUACAAGAACUCUUGAUUCAUCAACCAAAGGAGCCCAUUCAGUUUAUGUUGGAACACUUAGAACGAGACAAUGAUAUGGUGCCAAGGAUUUUUAUAUUGGGCCCACCUGCCUCUGGGAAAACGACUAUUGCGAUGUGGCUCUGUAAACAUUUGAAUGCCUCCCUCAUUACACUGGAGAACUUAAUAUGGAAUAAGCUUUCUGGACUAGCUAUUAAAGCACUUAAAAUAUAUGAAAAAGAAGAGGCAAUUCCUGAUUUUCUGUUGUUGAAAUUGCUCUUGGAACGUAUGUCAAAAGAAGAAUGCAUCUCAAAGGGCUGGAUUUUGGAUGGUAUUCCUGAAACUAGAGAACAGGCACUGAUGAUACAGACUUCUGGAAUCUCUCCCAGGCAUGUUGUUGUGUUGACUGCUCCGGAUACUGUCCUGAUUGAGAGAAAUCUGGGCAAACGGGUUGAUCCUUCCAAUGGAGAGGUUUAUCACACAACUUUUGACUGGCCUUCAGAGCCUGAAGUUCAAAAUCGGCUGAAGGUACCUUUGGGCAUCUCCGAGGAGGAAACGGUCAAGAGGCUAAUGAUGUAUCACAGGAACAUUAUUAGGAUUCUCCCUUCUUAUCCUAAAAUUUUGAAGGUUAUCAGUUCUGACCAGCCUUGUGUGGAUGUCUUCUACCAGGCUCUGACCUAUGUCCAAAGCCAGCAUCGGUCGAAUGCACCUUUUACUCCAAAGAUUUUGCUUUGUGGACCCACAGGCAGUGGGAAAAGUCUACAGGCAGCUCUCCUUGCUCAGAAAUAUGGCAUUAUCAAUGUCUGUUGUGGGCAACUACUGAAAGAAUGCGUUGCAAGCAAUUCGAGUAUUGGAGAACUCAUACGGCCAUAUUUUCAAAAGAAAAUGUCAGUUCCUGAUCAAAUCAUCAUGAAAGUUCUGUCAAGCCGUUUGAAAAAACAGGAUUGUAUUUGCUAUGGAUGGGUGCUUCAUGGUUUCCCUCAAGACUUAGACCAAGCAACUCUCCUGAGUAGUGAAGGAUUCGUGCCCAACAGUUUUCACUGUGCUGAAUGGAUUCUUCAGGGCCAUGAACUAACCUCUCCUGCGGUUUAUUUAGCUCUUCUGCUGAGAUCUAGGAGUUCUUCUCUUAAGGGUAUUUUUUCUGAAUGUACCAUAUGAUUCUGUCAUUGAACGGUUAACUCUAAGAAGAACAGAUCCAACCACAGGAGAAAGAUAUCACUUAAUGUACAAGCCACCUCCAACAAUGGAGAUCCAGGAGCGUCUUAUGCAGCACCCAGGGGAUAGAGAGGAGAAAGUGAAGAUCAAAAUAGAUUUUUUUUACAGAAA